rnacentral:sRNA from 1 species
GUUUCAAUUCCUCAUAGGCAGGCUAUCGGCUUUAGCGCAAUUUCUUAUUUCUUGGUGUUCGGCGCGUG